rnacentral:rRNA from 1 species
AGCAGUAGCCGCGGUAAAACGGAGGGUGCAAGCGUUAAUCGGAAUUACUGGGCGUAAAGCGCACGCAGGCGGUCUGUCAAGUCGGAUGUGAAAUCCCCGGGCUCAACCUGGGAACUGCAUUCGAAACUGGCAGGCUAGAGUCUUGUAGAGGGGGGUAGAAUUCCAGGUGUAGCGGUGAAAUGCGUAGAGAUCUGGAGGAAUACCGGUGGCGAAGGCGGCCCCCUGGACAAAGACUGACGCUCAGGUGCGAAAGCGUGGGGAGCAAACAGGAUUAGAUACCCGUUAGUCCCUGUCUCUUAUACC